UUAAGCGACUAAGCGUACACGGUGGAUGCCCUGGCAGUCAGAGGCGAUGAAGGACGUGCUAAUCUGCGAUAAGCGUCGGUAAGGUGAUAUGAACCGUUAUAACCGGCGAUUUCCGAAUGGGGAAACCCAGUGUGUUUCGACACACUAUCAUUAACUGAAUCCAUAGGUUAAUGAGGCGAACCGGGGGAACUGAAACAUCUAAGUACCCCGAGGAAAAGAAAUCAACCGAGAUUCCCCCAGUAGCGGCGAGCGAACGGGGAGCAGCCCAGAGCCUGAAUCAGUGUGUGUGUUAGUGGAAGCGUCUGGAAAGGCGCGCGAUACAGGGUGACAGCCCCGUACACAAAAAUGCACAUGCUGUGAGCUCGAUGAGUAGGGCGGGACACGUGGUAUCCUGUCUGAAUAUGGGGGGACCAUCCUCCAAGGCUAAAUACUCCUGACUGACCGAUAGUGAACCAGUACCGUGAGGGAAAGGCGAAAAGAACCCCGGCGAGGGGAGUGAAAAAGAACCUGAAACCGUGUACGUACAAGCAGUGGGAGCACGCUUAGGCGUGUGACUGCGUACCUUUUGUAUAAUGGGUCAGCGACUUAUAUUCUGUAGCAAGGUUAACCGAAUAGGGGAGCCGAAGGGAAACCGAGUCUUAACUGGGCGUUAAGUUGCAGGGUAUAGACCCGAAACCCGGUGAUCUAGCCAUGGGCAGGUUGAAGGUUGGGUAACACUAACUGGAGGACCGAACCGACUAAUGUUGAAAAAUUAGCGGAUGACUUGUGGCUGGGGGUGAAAGGCCAAUCAAACCGGGAGAUAGCUGGUUCUCCCCGAAAGCUAUUUAGGUAGCGCCUCGUGAAUUCAUCUCCGGGGGUAGAGCACUGUUUCGGCAAGGGGGUCAUCCCGACUUACCAACCCGAUGCAAACUGCGAAUACCGGAGAAUGUUAUCACGGGAGACACACGGCGGGUGCUAACGUCCGUCGUGAAGAGGGAAACAACCCAGACCGCCAGCUAAGGUCCCAAAGUCAUGGUUAAGUGGGAAACGAUGUGGGAAGGCCCAGACAGCCAGGAUGUUGGCUUAGAAGCAGCCAUCAUUUAAAGAAAGCGUAAUAGCUCACUGGUCGAGUCGGCCUGCGCGGAAGAUGUAACGGGGCUAAACCAUGCACCGAAGCUGCGGCAGCGACGCUUAUGCGUUGUUGGGUAGGGGAGCGUUCUGUAAGCCUGUGAAGGUGUGCUGUGAGGCAUGCUGGAGGUAUCAGAAGUGCGAAUGCUGACAUAAGUAACGAUAAAGCGGGUGAAAAGCCCGCUCGCCGGAAGACCAAGGGUUCCUGUCCAACGUUAAUCGGGGCAGGGUGAGUCGACCCCUAAGGCGAGGCCGAAAGGCGUAGUCGAUGGGAAACAGGUUAAUAUUCCUGUACUUGGUGUUACUGCGAAGGGGGGACGGAGAAGGCUAUGUUGGCCGGGCGACGGUUGUCCCGGUUUAAGCGUGUAGGCUGGUUUUCCAGGCAAAUCCGGAAAAUCAAGGCUGAGGCGUGAUGACGAGGCACUACGGUGCUGAAGCAACAAAUGCCCUGCUUCCAGGAAAAGCCUCUAAGCAUCAGGUAACAUCAAAUCGUACCCCAAACCGACACAGGUGGUCAGGUAGAGAAUACCAAGGCGCUUGAGAGAACUCGGGUGAAGGAACUAGGCAAAAUGGUGCCGUAACUUCGGGAGAAGGCACGCUGAUAUGUAGGUGAAGUCCCUCGCGGAUGGAGCUGAAAUCAGUCGAAGAUACCAGCUGGCUGCAACUGUUUAUUAAAAACACAGCACUGUGCAAACACGAAAGUGGACGUAUACGGUGUGACGCCUGCCCGGUGCCGGAAGGUUAAUUGAUGGGGUCAGCGCAAGCGAAGCUCUUGAUCGAAGCCCCGGUAAACGGCGGCCGUAACUAUAACGGUCCUAAGGUAGCGAAAUUCCUUGUCGGGUAAGUUCCGACCUGCACGAAUGGCGUAAUGAUGGCCAGGCUGUCUCCACCCGAGACUCAGUGAAAUUGAACUCGCUGUGAAGAUGCAGUGUACCCGCGGCAAGACGGAAAGACCCCGUGAACCUUUACUAUAGCUUGACACUGAACAUUGAGCCUUGAUGUGUAGGAUAGGUGGGAGGCUUGGAAGUGUGGACGCCAGUCUGCAUGGAGCCGACCUUGAAAUACCACCCUUUAAUGUUUGAUGUUCUAACGUUGACCCGUAAUCCGGGUUGCGGACAGUGUCUGGUGGGUAGUUUGACUGGGGCGGUCUCCUCCUAAAGAGUAACGGAGGAGCACGAAGGUUGGCUAAUCCUGGUCGGACAUCAGGAGGUUAGUGCAAUGGCAUAAGCCAGCUUGACUGCGAGCGUGACGGCGCGAGCAGGUGCGAAAGCAGGUCAUAGUGAUCCGGUGGUUCUGAAUGGAAGGGCCAUCGCUCAACGGAUAAAAGGUACUCCGGGGAUAACAGGCUGAUACCGCCCAAGAGUUCAUAUCGACGGCGGUGUUUGGCACCUCGAUGUCGGCUCAUCACAUCCUGGGGCUGAAGUAGGUCCCAAGGGUAUGGCUGUUCGCCAUUUAAAGUGGUACGCGAGCUGGGUUUAGAACGUCGUGAGACAGUUCGGUCCCUAUCUGCCGUGGGCGCUGGAGAACUGAGGGGGGCUGCUCCUAGUACGAGAGGACCGGAGUGGACGCAUCACUGGUGUUCGGGUUGUCAUGCCAAUGGCACUGCCCGGUAGCUAAAUGCGGAAGAGAUAAGUGCUGAAAGCAUCUAAGCACGAAACUUGCCCCGAGAUGAGUUCUCCCUGACUCCUUGAGAGUCCUGAAGGAACGUUGAAGACGACGACGUUGAUAGGCCGGGUGUGUAAGCGCAGCGAUGCGUUGAGCUAACCGGUACUAAUGAACCGUGAGGCUUAACCUU
rnacentral:rRNA from 2 species